AGAGUUUGAUCCUGGCUCAGGAUGAACGCUGGCGGCGUGCUUAACACAUGCAAGUCGAACGAGGAAUUUUAAAUGAGACUUCGGUGGAUUUUGGAAUUCUUAGUGGCGGACGGGUGAGUAACGCGUGGGUAACCUGCCCUGUACAGGGGGAUAACAGCUGGAAACGGCUGCUAAUACCGCAUAAGCGCACGAGGAGACAUCUCCUUGUGUGAAAAACUCCGGUGGUACAGGAUGGGCCCGCGUCUGAUUAGCUGGUUGGCAGGGUAACGGCCUACCAAGGCAACGAUCAGUAGCCGGUCUGAGAGGAUGAACGGCCACAUUGGAACUGAGACACGGUCCAAACUCCUACGGGAGGCAGCAGUGGGGAAUAUUGCACAAUGGGGGAAACCCUGAUGCAGCAACGCCGCGUGAGUGAAGAAGUAUUUCGGUAUGUAAAGCUCUAUCAGCAGGGAAGAUAAUGACGGUACCUGACUAAGAAGCUCCGGCUAAAUACGUGCCAGCAGCCGCGGUAAUACGUAUGGAGCAAGCGUUAUCCGGAUUUACUGGGUGUAAAGGGUGCGUAGGUGGCAGUGCAAGUCAGAUGUGAAAGGCCGGGGCUCAACCCCGGAGCUGCAUUUGAAACUGCUCGGCUAGAGUACAGGAGAGGCAGGCGGAAUUCCUAGUGUAGCGGUGAAAUGCGUAGAUAUUAGGAGGAACACCAGUGGCGAAGGCGGCCUGCUGGACUGUUACUGACACUGAGGCACGAAAGCGUGGGGAGCAAACAGGAUUAGAUACCCUGGUAGUCCACGCUGUAAACGAUGAUUACUAGGUGUUGGAGGAUUGACCCCUUCAGUGCCGCAGUUAACACAAUAAGUAAUCCACCUGGGGAGUACGACCGCAAGGUUGAAACUCAAAGGAAUUGACGGGGGCCCGCACAAGCAGUGGAGUAUGUGGUUUAAUUCGACGCAACGCGAAGAACCUUACCAAGUCUUGACAUCCCUUGACGAACAUAGAAAUAUGUUUUCUCUUCGGAGCAAGGAGACAGGUGGUGCAUGGUUGUCGUCAGCUCGUGUCGUGAGAUGUUGGGUUAAGUCCCGCAACGAGCGCAACCCUUACUGUCAGUUACUACGCAAGAGGACUCUGGCAGGACUGCCGUUGACAAAACGGAGGAAGGUGGGGAUGACGUCAAAUCAUCAUGCCCUUUAUGACUUGGGCUACACACGUACUACAAUGGCGUUAAACAAAGAGAAGCAAGACCGCGAGGUGGAGCAAAACUCAGAAACAACGUCCCAGUUCGGACUGCAGGCUGCAACUCGCCUGCACGAAGUCGGAAUUGCUAGUAAUCGCAGAUCAGCGUGCUGCGGUGAAUACGUUCCCGGGCCUUGCACACACCGCCCGUCA
rnacentral:rRNA from 1 species